GUCUGUGGCAGGACCACCCCGUUUUGAUUACUGUAGCUUUGUAGGAAGUUUUGAAAUCAGGCAGCGUGAGAUUUCCUACUUUGUUUUUGUCCAGCAUGGUUCCGGCUGUUCAGAGUCCCUUGCAAUUGCAUGUGAAUUUUUGGGAGGGAUUUUCUAUUUCUGCAAAAACAGAUUGUUAGGAUUUUGAUAGACAUUGCGUCGAACGUGCAGAUGUUACGAUUGCUUUUCGGAGAGUUUGCAACUUAUCAUGUCGAAGCGAUCUUUUGUUAUGUUCUAACGUGUGUUUGCUGGACCGUUUGUAUCGUUUGGAUUGCUUGCUACUUCCUUUGCCCACUCGUUCUCCUGGAGUCUGAGGGUCACAUACGUAAAGCGUAUUAGAGUAUCGACACUCCCCGUGCUUCCAUAACAAUCACCGAAUAUUAGUUGGGCACCGCUUUAGACAAGCUGCCGUGUUGGAUGGAGGUCUGCCUGAAGAGGUGAGGAACACCCCACAAUCCCCGCCUUCACGGGGCAAGAAGGUAGAUGGUAGUGAGAGUUACCCAAACCCGUAGUUGCAAAAUGGGUCGGUUGGUGUUUGGGCAAGGACUGGCAUGCUGUGAGGGGAUCUGAUCUGGCCUAGGGCUCCGCAAGGCCCCUCUCAGGAAGUGACAUCGGAGUUGCAGUUCGCGAUGAAGGAGUAGGAAAUAACCACUUGCGGUGGGAGGGGGAGGGGCUGGAGAGAUAUUAGCAGGUGCAAGGCCCUGAGGCCCAACGGAGCGGGCGGGCAGGCGUGUCCAGCGACGUGAAGGAAUGUGUUUUGAGCUGGAAUGUGAAGGAAGACCAGUGCAGGGGACUGGGGGGUGGGCACAGAGAUUAGAGAGUUCCAGAUCAAGGUGAGGCGGUCAGACAGUCGGCCAGCAACUGUUCAUUUUCCUUUCUAGACUCUUUGUCCACAGCUAUGGAUAAGAUGGCCAUCCAGGGCCUGGACUCCUAGUUUAUGGUCUUUAAGGUCUGCCAUUUUCUCGGAUGAAUUCACCGUUUAUCACCCUGGGACGGAGGUUUCCUUGGUUGGUUCCUUCAUCCAUUCAUUUAUUCCACAGAUAUGCACUGAGCACCUGUGAUGUGCAGGCGAGUAAGUAAGCUGAUCUCAGACGCGGGUGAGUUUUUGGAAGUGAAUGAACGAGCGAAAAGGGAGGAAGUCCCCUGGGCUCUGUGUUGGGAGCUGGUGUGGCUGAGCAGCCCACCCUGGGGGUGGCACUAGGGUAGUGACACAGCCCCUGAAAGUGGGAUGGGAGCUUUGUCUUCAUCCUCAGGGCGGAGGGAAGUCCGAACUGGUUUUCAGCCCAGAAGUGGCCUCAUCAGGCUUGUGGUUGGGAAAGGUCCCUCUGGCUUUGCUGGGGACGUUGAGGCCGGAGCUGCUGAAUGGGCCCCAGAGGUCAUGGAGGUCAUUUCUGCGGUCCAAGUGGGACGUGAGGGCCCACGUGAGAAAGGGGAGAGGCAGUGAACGUCCAGUGAUGUGGGUGGAUGGCUCCAAGGUGUUCCAGAAGGCCGAUCCACAAGACCUGGCAGAGGGUGGGUCAGGGGAGGGGGACCCAAGAUGCAGAACCGGAGAAUGUGCCAGUUAAUGAGAAACGGAAGCACAGAGGGCACUGCUGUGAGUUAGUGCCCGGGGACACCUGUGCAAAGGCAGGGACCUCUAAGACAGGACCAUGUCCCUCUCCGGCGGCCUGGCACAGUGCCUGGUAAUCAGAAGAAGACCAGUGAGGAAGCAAGCAUCACUCCAGACCUACCAGAUGUGCAAAGAUGAAGAGGUCUGAUGGGGCCAAGUGUCUUCAAGGACGUGGAGAAUCAGGGGCGUGGAGACACUGUGGUGGGGUCGUAAGUCAGGUCAUCCACUUUGGGGAGCAGAUGAAAAUACCAAGUAAAGUUAAAAAUGCCCAUUUCUUUCACCCUGAAAUCCUACUUACAGCAUAAAUCUGGAGAAACGUCUGCUCAGGGGAGUGUGAACACACAGAUGUUCAUUGCAUCAUUGUUUAUGACAGCAAAGAACCUGGACACCCACUGACAGGUAAAAAGAUACACACAUUCAUGGACGUGAGAACCAGAGACAACGCAGAGAGCAACGCCAGAGAUCGGGAAGGCUUCCACAUCCCGGCAGAUUGUCACGAAACGUGGCUCUCACUUCUGAGCACAGAGGUGUGUGUUGAGAUGAAAUCUAUAAAUCACGGACAACGUGGUCAGUCUCCAUGGAGACUUGUUCCACCCCCAGCCUCCCCCCCCCCACCCCCGGCAGGGGCACCUCCAUUUUACCCAGUGGUUCAAGUCCGAAAUCCAAGUGUCGUCUUGGAUUCUUGUCUGUCUCACACUCCACAACCAACCUGUCGAAAACCUCUGUCAUUUCUACUUCCAAAAUAUAUUCCCCUCCCUUCCCUUCUUCGGAAUAUGACACUUCUCUCCCUCUCCGUCCCACUGCCCACAUCCGGCCUCCCUCCUGGGCAGGUGACAGCCUCUGCUCCCUUGCCCUCCCCACCGUCACCCGCUCCCUGCCCUGCAGCCACGGCGAUCCUUAAAACAGCAAAUCGGAAGUCAUCAUUUCCCUGCUUAUACCCGGCAGUGGUUCCCCCUCCACCGAGAAUAUGCUAACUGCCCUCCCUUCACCAAUAAAACUAAAAAAUCUGGACCACUCCUGUUUCAUAUCCAUUUAAAACGAUAAACCUUCUCCCCUACCCCAGCCCAGCCCUUCCUUGAUCUAUCUUUCCAUGUUAUUUAUCACAUUAUGCACUAUAUGAUGCUAUAAAAUAUUAGACUUUGUAUCUUUCUAUAUAUUAUAUUCUUUAGGUCGUUUAUUGUUGGUCUUCCCUUGCGAUAAAGUAUAAGCUUCAUAGGA